GUAACACUGAAAGUCUUGCUGCUCCUCCACAAAAUGAACUUCAGAUUAAAGACACAGCUCAGCUAAACACAACUCAAACUAAUCUACACUAUUUUUCUUUAUUACGCAGCGUUUUUAUAACUAUUUCCAGAUGUUUCUAAAGAUGGAAACAGAAUUAAACUCCAGCCUGAUGCGUUUCUGAGGUUCCUGACUCUGACCGUCCCUCAAACGCCUCUCUGGGCGUUUCCUUCCGUCGCUUUUACUUUCGCUUUCGUGAAUGUUGUGGCGCAGCUGAUCGUCUCCAUGUUAAGACUAACUCCACCCUGACAUCAAGAAGAUGGAGGAAGAGGAUGGAGCAGGAUCUGCAGCAUCCAGCUGUGUGUCUGUGAGGAGUGACUGGUCCAAAGGAUUACUUCCAGACUUCAGUAAUGAACCUGCAGCAACAAUGAUCAAUAAGAGGCCAGAAUCUCCUGGACCUGAACCCAGCUGUGUUUCCUUAAAGAGCAACGACUCGAAGGAUAUCGGUAUAAACUUUAAAGGCUGUUCUUCUGCUGCUGAGAGAGGUCAGAGGUCACAGUCUGCAGGAUCCAGCUGUCCAUCUGUGAGGAGUGACCGGUCCAAAGUUUAACCUCCAGACUUCAGUGCUGAACCUGAACCAACGAGGUCAGAGAACUGUGAUGACUCCUUUACAUGUUUGUGUUUUCCUGGAUAAAUAUGACC